rnacentral:rRNA from 1 species
CUUAGGGAGGAGCUUGCGUCACAUUAGUUANNUGGUGGGGUAAAGGCCUACCAAGACUAUGAUGUGUAGCCGGGCUGAGAGGUUGAACGGCCACAUUGGGACUGAGACACGGCCCAAACUCCUACGGGAGGCAGCAGUAGGGAAUUUUCGGCAAUGGAGGAAACUCUGACCGAGCAACGCCGCGUGAACGAUGAAGUAUUUCGGUACGUAAAGUUCUUUUAUUAGGGAAGAAUAAAUGAUGGAAAAAUCAUUCUGACGGUACCUAAUGAAUAAGCCCCGGCUAACUAUGUGCCAGCAGCCGCGGUAAUACAUAGGGGGCAAGCGUUAUCCGGAAUUAUUGGGCGUAAAGGGUGCGUAGGCGGUUAAAUAAGUUUAUGGUCUAAGUGCAAUGCUCAACAUUGUGAUGCUAUAAAAACUGUUUAGCUAGAGUAAGAUAGAGGCAAGUGGAAUUCCAUGUGUAGUGGUAAAAUGCGUAAAUAUAUGGAGGAACACCAGUAGCGAAGGCGGCUUGCUGGGUCUUUACUGACGCUGAGGCACGAAAGCGUGGGGAGCAAACAGGAUUAGAUACCCUGGUAGUCCACGCCGUAAACGAUGAGUACUAAACGUUGGGUAAAACCAGUGUUGAAGUUAACACAUUAAGUACUCCGCCUGAGUAGUACGUACGCAAGUAUGAAACUUAAAGGAAUUGACGGGACUCCGCACAAGCGGUGGAUCAUGUUGUUUAAUUCGAAGGUACCCGAAAAACCUCACCAGGUCUUGACAUGCUUCUGCAAAACUGUAGAAACACAGUGGAGGUUAUCAGUUGCACAGGUGGUGCAUGGUUGUCGUCAGCUCGUGUCGUGAGAUGUUGGGUUAAGUCCCGCAACGAGCGCAACCCUUAUUGUUAGUUACCAGCACGUAAUGGNGGGGACUUUA